UACGAAGGGGCGUAGCGUUGCUCGGAAUCACUGGGCGGUAAAGACGCACGUAGGCGGACUCUUAAGUCGGGGUGGAAAUCCUGGAGCUCAACUCCAGAACUGCCUUCGAUACUGGGAGUCUUCGAGUUCGGGAGAGGUGAGUGGAACUGCGAGUGUAGAGGUGAAAUUCGUAGAUAUUCGCAAGAACACCAGUGGCGAAGGCGGCUCACUGG
rnacentral:rRNA from 1 species